CGGUUUACCAGCCACUUGCAGAAAUUCUUAAAGUUACAGAAAGAGACGAUUGUUACGACAAGUCAGAGAUGGCGGACCCGCUUCGAAUCAUCUACGGAUUGCUAUUGUUCAUGUAUCUAAAAAAGGAUCCAGAACACAAAGACUAAGUCUAUGAGGAAAAUAAAGUUUUAGAUCAACGACUAAAAAUUGUCAAGAACAGAUAAAAUAUGAGAUAGAGAUAGAACUGGUAUGAAAGGUGACAGUAGAACAUUGAAAUAAUUUGAAAGAAACAAGUUGGCAAAGAUAUAUAUCACAUGCAUAGGAAGAGCAAUGGAAAAUAACAUUGAAGCAGAAUUAUGAAACAGUUAUUUUAAAAAAAACAUUAUAUUGAGAGAGAGAAAAACACAUUUUUUUACUUUUUAAUGCUGUUCAUUCUUAAGAUUACUGUUCAUUGUAUUUCGAUGGAAGUUAUUGCAGUUGAUAAGAAGAUAGAACAAAAAUUUGAGUUCUUCAGCUUGUUUUAUGCAGUCAAUAAAAAUUAAUUUUGAAAAGUAAACCAUAUAUGU